UUCGCUUCGGCGUCACCUAAAGGGUUGGUCUAACCAGACUAUAAAUGAGCAAUCAUUUACCAGCUUUACAUGCUUCAUGAUCCUUCCAACCAACUUCUUCAAGAAAAGAAGCUUUUAUUACAAUUACAAAACAGGUCCUGGGGCAGGAGUUGAUCUGACAGACGGGUCUAUUGCUCUGAGAGUAACUGUAGGCCGGCAUACAGAUCUCUGCAUCAUAUAGAAAGUACUGUGUAGUGUCUGGUUGACUCCUGCUCCAGGAACUACUCAAAAAAAAAAAAAAAACAUGGUGAGUCAUUCUGCUCUGACUGAGUUAUAGUUACAGUGUUUAUGGUUUCUGCUCAUGUCUCAUUGUUCUGAUUAUAGAGCUCUUCACCUAAAGACGCUCACGUUAUUCUACCGAGCGCUGAACACAUUUAUUCAAAAAAUUCCAAAGAUCCUCCUGAUUUUCGAAAUUACAAAGUAGUUAUAUUUAAUAGGUCUCUUUCAAGAACUGAAUCGUGUGAGGAGACGGAUGAAGAUUUUAUUCUAAAAAUUACUGAUUCGGGAAUCUUUUAUAAAGACUACUCUAAUAAAAUAAAAUCCUUGAAAUAUUUAAUUGAUAAAACCAAUGAUCCAUACCAAGAUAUUAAUAGUUACAAAUAUAUUAGUCUCAAAAAGGAAAAGAGUGCCAUUUUUAAUCGUUUUUUUAAUGAUCUUGAUGAUGAAACGAAGAAAACGUUGAAAUUGAAAAAGCAGCUUGCUUUUAUAUGUUUUAGAA
rnacentral:lncRNA from 1 species